ensembl:snRNA U2 U2 spliceosomal RNA
AUCGCUUCUCGGCCUUUUGGCUAAGAUCAAGUGUAGUAACAAAAUUCUUUCUCUGGAUAUUGCUAAGAGAGCCUCU